rnacentral:tRNA from 1 species
GCGGGUGUCGUAUAACGGCUAUUAUAGGGGCUUUCCAAGCCCGGGACGGGGGUUCGACUCCCCCCACCCGCACCA